UUCUUAUGAUUAUCCAUCGGCCACGCACGCCACUCCCUCCUCUCCGGUAGACAAUUUCGCCUAAAUUUAGAGAGAGAGAAAGACAGCGCCGACGUAGGAGGCGGAGCGAGGGAUUCGGAGAGAGAAAAUACCACAAAUAUGGCGUGCUCUGGAUAUUCUUCCAUUUUAGGAAGCCCUAAUUCCGCCAUUCUCUCCCCUCCUUCUUUUACAUCCUCUCCUAAAUUAACCUCACUUUCCUUCAAUCAUCAUCGUCCCAACUCCCUCCGCUUUGAUCAUUCUGUAACUCGACAUCACUCGAGCAUCAAUCGUCGUCAUCGUCAUCGCAAUUUUGUGGUUAUGGCGUCUACUAGUAACUCCAGGCCACUCAGGAUCAUGAUAUCGGGUGCUCCGGCAUCUGGCAAAGGGACGCAAUGUGAGCUCAUAACUAACAAAUAUGGUUUGGUGCAUAUUGCUGCUGGAGAUUUGCUUAGGGCGGAGAUUUCAUCUGGUAGUGAAAAUGGAAAACAAGCAAAGGAAUACAUGGACAAAGGACAGCUGGUUCCUGAUGAAAUAGUUGUGAUGAUGGUUAAAGACCGUCUGCUGCAGCCUGAUUCACAAGAGAAGGGCUGGCUUUUGGACGGAUAUCCAAGGAGCUUAUCUCAAGCAAUUGCUCUAAAGGACUUAGGGUUCCAGCCUGACCUAUUCAUUCUUUUGGAAGUUCCUGAAGAAUUGCUUGUUGAGAGGGUUGUUGGACGGAGAUUAGAUCCUGUUACUGGAAAAAUUUACCACCUAACGUAUUCCCCUCCCGAGAAUGACGAAAUUGCUUCCAGGCUCACCCAGCGGUUUGAUGACACCGAGGAAAAGGUAAAAUUGCGUUUGCAAACUCAUCAUCAAAAUGUGGAGGCAGUGCUUUCCAUGUACGAAGAUAUAAUUAUUAAGGUUGAUGGAAGUGCUUUGAAACAAGAUGUAUUUACUGAGAUCGACAUAGAACUGUCCAAGCUUCUGGAGCAAAAGACUGCUUCAGAAUCUGUUGCAGCUUAAAUUUAAACUAGUGACUUUUGCUUUGCAUAGUGUGGCUCACUAAAAGUUCUAAAGUGUGGAAGAGUUGCAGGAAAGUUGGAAAUCCAGACUUUUUAGUUGAUGGUUGAAGUCAACCUUAUAUGAGGUGUAGAGAAGAGGAGACUAAUAUAGGACUUAAGCAGAUGCGUCAACAUCGGAGCUACUCGGUUUAGUUGCUGCUGAGGUGGAAGCGUUUUGUGCUUGAUUACGGGAAACAACCUCUUUACGAAAAUAAGAGUAAAGCUGCGCACAUUUGGAACUUUCCAAGACCCUACGUUAAAUAACGGGAACCUUAUGCAUUCACUUGACACAAAUAGACGCUACCGAGCAAGAACUUGCAUGAGUCAACUUGGUUCGGGUUCGGGUUCGGGUUCGUGGAGGCCGGGAAGAAGGGUAAGAGAUUCACUCCACCGUAAAUGUGUCAUAGUUCAGUGAAACUUUAAUCCCCAACCUCGAGGUUGAAACUUUUAUAUCUAUUUGUAUAAAUUUUUAUAUCACUCCACCGUAAACUUUUAUAUCUUUAUAUCAUUAAAUACUUACCUCAUGUCAAAGGAACGGAAUUUUUUUUGUUAUAAUUUUUAAACCUGGUACUUCUCCGUUUCUAAAUGAGUGUUUAUAAUUUUUAAACCGGAA